ACAGCGCAUAGCAACCAACCCUGACAGCAAAGUGUUCUGGAAGUAUGUACAUUCAAAGCAGAGACCUCACUCUCCAAUUGGCCCCCUUCGCAAUCCCCACACAGGCCAGAUUACUGCCAAUCCCAAAGAAUGUACAGAAAUCAUUGUCGGAUGCUCUGCAGGCAUCUUUACUGUCGAAGAUCAAAAUGUUCCAUCUCCAUCACCUCUGACAUCGGACUCUAUAACUACUAUGAGAUUUACAUCAGCAAUGCUACAACACCACCUUAAGAAUAAACGUUACUAUGCCUCUCCUGGUCUUGAUGGUGUUACAUAUCUACUUCUCAAACACGUGAGACCAAAAUCAGUACACCCACUUCAGAAAAUAAAUCCCAGCAAGUUGAGACUCCAAUGAUGGAAGAGAAGUAAGUCUGGAUGGUGACAGAGGCAGUUGCAGACCACAAAUUCCUCACUAUCGAUUACCAACCUGUCGGCGAACCUUUUGUCACUGUCACUACGAUUAUUGCUGUCUUACUAACUACUUUCCGGACAAAAAAAAAAAAAUUAAUAAUCCUUCUUUUUGUGGUGUGAUAUAUCCACCCGGCAUAAGAGCCCUUAUGCACCGCAGAAACAUCAACUUGAUGGACUUAAAAGAAUUACUGCAUUCUGAUUAUACUUGUUCCAUUAGCCGCUACAAUAUGAUUGUUUUCGUAAUUUAACAAACAGUAAUUUUGUUUAUAUAUUAAAACCUGCCUAAAUUAAGGUUCAAUGU